UACGUAGGGGGCAAGCGUUGUCCGGAUUUAUUGGGCGUAAAGAGCGUGUAGGCGGCCAGGUAGGUCCGUUGUGAAAACUCGAGGCCCAACCUCGGGCUUGCAGUGGAUACGGGCAGACUAGAGUGCGGUAGGGGAGACUGGAAUUCCUGGUGUAGCGGUGGAAUGCGCAGAUAUCAGGAGGAACACCGAUGGCGAAGGCAGGUCUCUGGGCCGAUACUGACGCUGAGGAGCGAAAGCGUGGGGAGCAAACAGG
rnacentral:rRNA from 1 species